GACAGAGGGUGCGAACGUUGCUCGGAAUUACUGGGCGUAAAGCGCGUGUAGGCGGGUGAUCAAGUCAGAUGUGAAAGCCCUGGGCUCAACCCAGGAAUUGCAUUUGAAACUGGUUGCCUUGAGUGCUGGAGAGGGAAGCGGAAUUCCUGGUGUAGAGGUGAAAUUCGUAGAUAUCAGGAGGAACACCGGUGGCGAAGGCGGCUUCCUGGACAGUUACUGACGCUGAGACGCGAAAGCGUGGGGAGCAAACAGG
rnacentral:rRNA from 1 species